rnacentral:rRNA from 1 species
GUGGGGAAUUUUGGACAAUGGGGGCAACCCUGAUCCAGCCAUGCCGCGUGCGGGAAGAAGGCCUUCGGGUUGUAAACCGCUUUUGUCAGGGAAGAAAUCCUUUGGGUUAAUACCUCGGAGGGAUGACGGUACCUGAAGAAUAAGCACCGGCUAACUACGUGCCAGCAGCCGCGGUAAUACGUAGGGUGCGAGCGUUAAUCGGAAUUACUGGGCGUAAAGCGUGAGCAGGCGGUUUUGUAAGAUCGAUGUGAAAUCCCCGGGCUCAACCUGGGAACUGCGUUGGUGACUGCAAGGCUGGAGUGCGGCAGAGGGGGAUGGAAUUCCGCGUGUAGCAGUGAAAUGCGUAGAUAUGCGGAGGAACACCGAUGGCGAAGGCAAUCCCCUGGGCCUGCACUGACGCUCAUGCACGAAAGCGUGGGGAGCAAACAGGAUUAGAAACCCUUGUAGUCC